UACGUAGGGUGCAAGCGUUAAUCGGAAUUACUGGGCGUAAAGCGUGCGCAGGCGGUUCUAUAAGACAGAUGUGAAAUCCCCGGGCUCAACCUGGGAACUGCAUUUGUGACUGUAGAGCUGGAGUGCGGCAGAGGGGGAUGGAAUUCCGCGUGUAGCAGUGAAAUGCGUAGAUAUGCGGAGGAACACCGAUGGCGAAGGCAAUCCCCUGGGCCGCACUGACGCUCAUGCACGAA
rnacentral:rRNA from 1 species